rnacentral:rRNA from 1 species
AUGAAUUGGAUACUUCAAGAGAAGAGAAGAGAAUUGACAGAUAAGGAGAGGCAUGGUGUUUACUUCGCUUUGUUGGUAAUCGAGCUCAAAGAUGGGUCUGUUCAACUAGACGACAAGCUGCUAGUCUCAAACCUGUUGGACAUAAGUGUACGAUCUGUUGAAAGAAUCCAGGAAGAAGCCAAAAAGAAAAUUGCCGAUGGCAAAGAAGUAGAUGUCUCAAGCAAGAAGCUAGGAAGAUCUGGCCGAAAGAGAAAGGAGCUGGAUCUAGAGAGGACCUCAACAAUCCCACUGAAUAAAAGAAGGGAAAUUCGAUCUCUGGCACGGUCUCUAGGUGUGGCCCGAUUGACCCUAAAUAAGAGGUUCCAGUUG